GACAGAGGGUGCAACCGUUGUUCGGAAUUACUGGGCGUAAAGCGUGUGUAGGCGGCUAUGUAAGUCGGAUGUGAAAGCCCCGGGCUCAACCCGGGAAGUGCACUCGAUACUGCGUAGCUUGAGUACUGGAGAGGUUGGUGGAAUUCUCGGUGUAGAGGUGAAAUUCGUAGAUAUCGAGAGGAACACCGGUGGCGAAGGCGGCCAACUGGACAGAUACUGACGCUGAGACACGAAAGCGUGGGGAGCAAACAGG
rnacentral:rRNA from 1 species